rnacentral:rRNA from 1 species
GACGAACGCUGGCGGCGUGCUUAACACAUGCAAGUCGAACGGAAAGGCCCCUUUGGGGGUACUCGAGUGGCGAACGGGUGCGUAACACGUGAGUAACCUGCCCUUGACUUCGGGAUAACUUCAGGAAACUGGGGCUAAUACCGGAUAGGAAUCCUUGCUGCAUGGUGGGGGUUGGAAAGCUUCGGCGGUUUUGGAUGGACUCGCGGCUUAUCAGCUUGUUGGUGGGGUAGUGGCUUACCAAGGCUUUGACGGGUAGCCGGCCUGAGAGGGCGACCGGCCACAUUGGGACUGAGAGGCGGCCCAGACUCCUACGGGAGGCAGCAGUGGGGAAUAUUGCACAAUGGGCGGAAGCCUGAUGCAGCAACGCCGCGGGCGGGAUGACGGCCUUCGGGUUGUAGACCGCUUUCAGCAGGGGCGAAGCUUGUGGUGACGGUACCUGCAGAAGAAGCACCGGCUAACUACGUG